AGUGGGGUAUCAUAUGAAAGGGCUUUACCUGCGCAUCCUAAAACAGAUUUUUAUUUAUUUUUAUACAUUUUUUUGAUUUAUCGUACAAAAUGUCGAAUAAAAUACCCGAGUACGGGACACUCGGUGUACGAGUCUGACUCGCACUUG